rnacentral:rRNA from 1 species
UACCGAUAUAACACAACAAUGUUUAUAAUAAAGCACAACAUAACACUAAAAACUAAACCAUUUUUUUACCUGAGUAUGGGAGACAGAAAAGGUUCAACCAAGCGCAAUAGAAAAAGUACCGCAAGGGAAAGCUGAAAGAGAAAUGAAAUAAACCAUAUAAGCACCAAAAAACAAAGACUAAACCUUGUACCUUUUGCAUCAUGAUUUAGCCAGAACCCUCAAGCAAAGAGACCUUUAGUUUGAAACCCCGAAACCAGGUGAGCUACCCCGAGACAGCCUAUAUAACUUAGGGCUAACCCGUCUCUGUGGCAAAAGAGUGGGAAGAGCUCCGGGUAGAAGUGACAGACCUACCGAACCUGGUGAUAGCUGGUUGCCUAAGAAAUGGAUAGAAGUUCAGCCCCGUGCCCCCCAAACCAAAACACGUUUUAUUAAGGUAGUUUUCAAGGGAGAUACACGGGAGUUAGUUAGAGGGGGUACAGCCCCUCUAACGAAGGAUACAACCUUAUUUAAGGAGGAUAAAGAUCAUAAUACUUAAAACACACUGUUCUAGUGGGCCUAGAAGCAGCCAUCUAAACGGAAAGCGUUAAAGCUCAGACAGAAAAAAGUUUAUUAUAUUGAUAAAAAAUCUUAUUCCCCUAGUAAUAUUAGGCUGCCCCAUGCCCGCAUGGGAGAAAUUAUGCUAAAAUGAGUAACAAGAAGACCUGUUCUUCUCCAAGCACAAGUGUAAGCCAGAUCGGACAGACCACUGGAAAAUAACGAACCCAACCAAAGAGAGUAUUGCGGACAAUAAAGAGACCAAGAAAACCCCGCAGCUAAUUAAUCGUUAACCCCACACUGGAGUGCUAUUGUAAAGGAAAGACUAAAAGAAAGGGAAGGAACUCGGCAAACACAAGCCUCGCCUGUUUACCAAAAACAUCGCCUCCUGCAAUAAAUAAGUAUAGGAGGUCCAGCCUGCCCAGUGACUACGGGUUCAACGGCCGCGGUAUUUUGACCGUGCAAAGGUAGCGCAAUCACUUGUCUUUUAAAUAGAGACCUGUAUGAAUGGCCAAACGAGGGCUUAACUGUCUCCCCCUUCAAGUCAGUGAAAUUGAUCUAUCCGUGCAGAAGCGGGUAUAAAAAUACAAGACGAGAAGACCCUUUGGAGCUUAAGGUACAAAAUUCAGCCACGUCAAACAACCCCGCAAAAAGUGAAAACUUAGUGGAACGUGAAAUUUUACCUUCGGUUGGGGCGACCGCGGAGGAAAAUACAGCCUCCGAGUGGAAUGGGGCAAAACCCCUAAAACCAUGAGAAACAUCUCUAAGCCGCAGAACAUCUGACCAAAAAUGAUCCGGCCAACCAGCCGAUCAACGAACCAAGUUACCCUAGGGAUAACAGCGCAAUCCUCUCCCAGAGUCCAUAUCGACGAGGGGGUUUACGACCUCGAUGUUGGAUCAGGACAUCCUAAUGGUGCAGCCGCUAUUAAGGGUUCGUUUGUUCAACGAUUAAAGUCCUACGUGAUCUGAGUUCAGACCGGAGUAAUCCAGGUCAGUUUCUAUCUGUAACGCUACUUUUCCUAGUACGAAAGGAUCGGAAAAGAGGGGCCCAUACUUGAAGCACGCCCCACCCCUAAUUGAUGAAAACAAAUAAAUUAAAUAAAGGGAGGGCCGAAACCCCUGCCGCCCAAGAUAAGGGCAU